UCCUGACCGUGUGAAGGUAGCAUAAUCACUUGUUCUUUAAAUGGGGACUAGUAUCAACGGCAUCACGAGGGUCCCACUGUCUCCCCCCUCCAAUCAGUGAAACUGAUCUCCCCGUGAAGAAGCGGGGAUAAGUAUAUUAGACGAGAAGACCCCAUGGAGCUUUAAACCC
rnacentral:rRNA from 1 species